rfam:Trichobilharzia regenti genome assembly, scaffold: TRE_contig0016540
AUCCAGCCGACGAGUCCCAAAUAGGACGAAGUGCGCUUUAUACUGGCUGGAU